ensembl:lncRNA
AUCAUUUGGUAACGUUUGCAUAAAAAUCAUAUUGUGUAUAAUUCACAUAAGAGUAUUAAAGAAAGUUGAUAUUUUGUUAUUAUAGAUGAAAUAUAUGAUUAUUUUAGAUAAUAUUCAUAUUUUCCUGCCUAGAUAACUAGUCCAUUUUAUGAUACAUAUAUUGGUGCCAGCACUGUAAUGAGUUGUGUAGUUGUUAAGAGUUGGUACCUUGCAAUCCAGUCUGAAUCUCCACUGCCGCUGAAGUAUCAUUCAGCAAGGCACUUCUGAAUUCAGUAAAAAUUACUCAGCUGUAUCAUUGGCUAAAUCAUUGUUAGUGACUUACUGGUCACAAUUCUUAGUGUACAACUGGAAGCUGCCUUGGACAAUGGUGUUAACGUGCUGAAUGGUUGUUGUCUUUUAUUUCGUUAGCUUACGUGUGGGACGCAGUGGUCCUUAUUUUGUGACAAGUUACAGGGACAGCUGACAGAGAAUGUUUUUAUAAUAGGCUCCCUCAGUUCCUUCAUGAGUUACCUCUCUUUUACCCAUGCCUUAAACCUAAGCCAUAGGAAUAUACCUAAACAGUCACGUGGAAAUUACUGUAAUUGAUUUUGCUGUAUCUGGUGUGUCUGAGAGGGACUGUGGAAUGAAAGGUAUUGACUAUUGAAACAUAUACAUAAGUGAUGUAUUGUGGGUGUAGCCUAUCCAUGCAGCCAAGUUUUUAGAGAGUGAGAAGUAACAGACAGGGGUUCUCAGUUUGAUUGAAAUAUGUUUCAUAAUAGGAUCUCAUUUUUGUGUUGUGUCCAGAUUCCAGUAAAGGAGGAAACAGAAAAUUUACAUUGAAAGACUGAUGGAAUGUUCUCAUCCUGGAAUCAUCUGUGUGUACACACAGAUACCCCCCUGCACUGUGACCAGUCUAGUUUUAAUAAAACUUUCUGGAACCCAGGCUGCAUGAUUGACAGCUUUGACUAUUAUUUGCUUAUAAUCCUAAAAAAAUAACCAAAGCACUGCCAAUUUUAAUAAGUCCAAAUUAAGAAAUCCACAAACACUGUCUACAACCCCUUAUCCCAAGUGGGACUCGAACCCCAGACCUGCCAUACACCCGGCCAUGGCCAAAUCCGCUGCGCCACUGUAACCCACCCACCCCUCCAAAAUAUCGCACUUAAAUUCAUAAUGAAGAAAUACAACAUUAAAUGGUUGAAUGUGGACGGUCAAAUAAGUACAUUAAAUAUGUCUGGCUCAGUGUGCAUUAUAUAAUCUAAUGGAUGGGAAGAUGUUGUGGAUCGAAUUGACACUGAAGACUGAGGUAGACUUGUCAGCAGUGAGUGGAAUAAGGAGGAGAGGAAGGGGAGCAAAGGAAAGAAAAAGUAGUAACAUACUUGUGAAGAUCUUUGGCCUUUCUUGAAUUUAGUAAAAAAAUUUACAGUGAAACAAACGUCAACACCUCACACAGUGGCUCUUGUUUGGUAAUUUAGUCACAAAUGACACAUCCAAAGAUAAAAGCAGUGCUUUUAUCUUUGGAUGUGUCAUUUGUGACUAAAUUACAAAAAUUGUACUUCCAUUUAUUUUUUUAUGCAUUUGAAAGUCUGAACAAAUCCUAGGACAAAACUUUAUUGAACGCAGUCAUCAGAAACACCAAUUCUUAAUUUUGGGAUUAUUAGGACACUUGAGAAAACCAGAUUUUCUGUCUAGAUCCAGUUAAUAGACAACUUAUAACUAAUCGUUGUUGAUCAAAAGUACUAAAACUUGUGGAAGUUUUAAUUGCAAAAUCAAGUGUUUUUAUUCUUAAAACAGACAUCUGACUAAAACGCCAGAAGUAAUUCACAUUCCAAAAAACACAAUUUAUAAUUGUUUCUUAAAAAAUAUAACACAUGUAACAAGCACUAUUCAUGUACUAUGGUACUUUGACAUAAAUAGGUCCUGUUAUACUGUACUUGUACCCCUCAGAGGUUCUGUUAACUACUUUUCACCUAGAAAUUAAGAUAACGCAGUUUUGACC